rnacentral:lncRNA from 7 species
CUGGCCAGCUCAAGAACCACUGCAUCUGCCCCCUAUAAUCAGUACCUUGGGCUGCCGUAUUCAGUGAAGAUUUCUUCCUUGCCCUCAAAUUCUAGUCAAAGUUCACUGUUUGAGUGUGCAGUCCUUGUGUACUGCUGGUAUAACCCUCUCUGCAUCCUAGGUUUGCCUGUCCCAGAACCCUUCUCCCCAUGGACUAGAUACGCUCACUUCCCCAUGGACUAGAUACGCUCACUGACACACCCCUUUCCCUUGCUUACAUAUUCUGUAAUUUGGGGCUAGUUAUUUUGGAGCUCCUCACUGCCCUUAAAUUCCAGCCAAGACUCUUUGCAUAUGCGAGGUGUUCCUGAUGUUCUUAAGUCUACACAGCUUCCUCCCUAGCCACCAAAAUUUGGUCUGUACAGAGGCUGGGCACACCAUCAACUGUUGUUGUGGUGACCACUCCGGUCAGUUUGCCGCCUUGCCGUGGCCGGAGCGAUUCAAGAAGGGUCGUGCCGUCGUGAUCUAGCACUGCGGACAGCCUCCACGCUGGCCGAGCAACUCGCGCUUUCUCCAGCUGUUAGACAACAGCCGGUAU